rnacentral:rRNA from 1 species
AUUAAACGCUGGCGGCAUGCCUUACACAUGCAAGUCGAACGGCAGCACGGGGGCAACCCUGGUGGCGAGUGGCGGACGGGUGAGUAAUGCAUCGGAACGUGCCCUGAAGUGGGGGAUAACGCAGCGAAAGCUACGCUAAUACCGCAUAUUCUGUGAGCAGGAAAGCAGGGGAUCGCAAGACCUUGCGCUUUGGGAGCGGCCGAUGUCGGAUUAGCUAGUUGGUGGGGUAAAGGCCUACCAAGGCGACGAUCCGUAGCGGGUCUGAGAGGAUGAUCCGCCACACUGGGACUGAGACACGGCCCAGACUCCUACGGGAGGCAGCAGUGGGGAAUUUUGGACAAUGGGCGGAAGCCUGAUCCAGCCAUGCCGCGUGAGUGAAGAAGGCCUCGGUUGUAAGA